AACUGCAAUAAUAAAUAAAAACGUUCCAUCUAGUAAAAAUGUCUUGAUCAAAAUCCGAUCGUACAAAGCUACAUAAAAAAAAUAUAUCGGUCAUAUCCUCGGCAUAUCUCACAAUUUUUCAAUCCCAUUUCAUACAUUUCUCACCAAAUAGUAGAAUAUAAAAAAAAUAGCCAGCAAUAAUUCAGAAAUAUUCUAUACACUCUUAAUAAACCGUAUAAAAAACAUGUGAAAACAACAUAGGCAAAUUUCGACAUGCUUUUCGUAAUCCAUCAACAUAUUAGAGUGUGAGCGUAACAUAUUUAUGAUGAAAUAAAUAAAUUCUUAAGCAUACUGACAAUCAUAUUUUUGCGAAGGAAAUUUCUUGCGUGUUUUUAAUUUUCUCAUAAAAAAAACGCCCUCGACUUUUUUUUAUUUCACAGUUCUAAAUGUACUAUACAUUUUUAUGUUUCCAUAUACAAUGCUGAGAAAUGAGAGAAUCGAAGUUUUGCUUUUCUUACAAUUAUGUAAUUAUGGUGACAUUACUUCACAAAGUUGUCUGUCACGUCUAGAGAUUUUUUAUUUUACGACAGAGAUUCAUUCGUGCGGUGAAUCAAUUGUGAAAGGAGGGAGUGCAACUAUCGGCAAGUGAAGAAUAAACAAAGUCACAAAACAUGCUCGGGACGCAAUGUGAACUUUACGUACGCGACCCAGAAAUUGUUUUGCUGAGAAUCGCUUAAUUUUUUUCGUUCGCACUAAUUGCCUCGCUGACGCCAAUUAUCCAACACACCGUUCGUCGCUCUAAUCCGCUGUUCUAAUUUGGCGCAUCUCUGCAUCUCCUUACUAUCCAUCCGAAAUACCGAUUCACGUUAAAUCUUCGCUAUAUACACGCCGCAAUACCGUGGCCUCUGCUAUCUCGGAGGGAAGCGAUUGUACACCAUACAUCCUAUCUCCUCAAAAUGGAGCGCAAACAAAUGUCUCCUUCUCUUUCUCCCUCUCUUUCGGACGUCGUUCCUUCUUACAGAGAAGCGAGCGAGUAACUAGGAGAUCCUCGUCGCGCGUAUACUAUCCAUACUCAUACGAGAAGAAGCAUCAUCCGUAGGUGGUGAUGGACUGCGGUGGAAGGAGUGCGCGAGGAAGGGGACAAUUUAAUUAGGGCCAACAAAGAAGCCGCGCGCGCGCCACCGUCGUUCUAUCGCUAUAAUUAAUCUAUAGUCGUCCGGUGUUUGCCUCCUUUCUUUUUGUCCUCCUUGGGGACGAGCGUCGCGACGAGCUUUUCUCUCCCCUAUACGCGAGAGACCUGAUAAAAGAGGACGCAGGCAACCGCUACACGCUCAUCGUUCUCCAUCACCUCCUUUCAAAAAUAUGAUCCAUGGCUUCGAAUGGCGAAAAGUGCGACUCACGUUAGAGCUCGUGUACCACGAUAAAAUGGUGGACGUGUCCAGCUGAGGAACAAAAGAAAUUCACUUAUCGCGAAACUGAGAAUGAGGACAACACGGUGAGUUCAUUAACGAUCGACACCGAAACACUCACUGAGGGUCCGCCAAUGUCGGCUCAUUGUUUUAAAAGUAUCUUCGAGUCGUGGCUGCUCCGACACAUACUAAGUCGCGAUCGGUGGGGGGACAGAGGACUUGAAGAAACACCUGAGUCCAGUUCACGAUCAGAUGGCUUAAGCUUAAGUUUAAAUUUCCAGUCAGAUAUACGUUUCUCGGCCGAUUGACAAUUUACUGGCACACGAGCGGAAGUGUGUGGCAUUAUUUAAUUGAGUUAUCUAGAUGUAUCAUUUACUCCUUUAUCUCUUUUAAUCUUUUUUUUUUUUUUUAUGUAAGUUCUCCCGUAGAGUAAUUUCAAAAUGCUUUAGCUUAGCAUGUACGUAUUACUGUAUUGUGUAAUGAGACUGAAUUCCCACGAGCAGCAAAGAGAAAUCCGCAAAGUCUUGACAAGUCUUAUCUUGCUGAGGAAUUGUGAUAUUCCUGAGACAUAUCCCAUGAGACAUGUGUUGAAACGGGUGCUACCUGGAGAAUAUUUGUCAAAUAUUAUAUUACAUGGUACGUAAUUCCUGGAGCGUUCAAGAUAUUCUCCAGAUGUCACGCACAGAUUUCUUUUAUAAUUUUUACGAAUUUCUUACUCUUAGAUGACAUUUCAAUACCUUUAAUGAUUUGCAAAUGCAUUUUUGUUAUUGCGUGCUUAAAUAAAAAUGAUCAUCGAGAUUGUAUUAUUUUAUAUCAGCGUUUUAAGCGUUUUAAAGUGAAUUGACAGAGAGAAAAAGAGAAAAUGCAUACUGAUAGUUGACUUGUCCAUCAGACACGUGAUUUUACAUCCUGUUUUUUCUACUCGCUAAAAUAAUCGUUCCGUGAAGAAUCGUAAUAAAGAGUCGAGUAUUUCCUUCACUGAGUCUGAAGCUGUACUAGAUUGCAAAGACCGCGAGUUUUUCAUCCGCAUUGGGAGAAACCCGAGCUGCCGUCUUGCGAUAAGAACAAACUUUCAAAGUGCGUUGGCGACGUUAUCAGUUUCGGUUUCAUAAAACGUGACGUUCUUUCACAUGCAACCGCCGCAGUCACCGCCGCGUCAUAUUCUGUGGUCGAUAUCCAAUUUAAAUUACUAUUCAUUGCCAAUGGCGGACGCAAUUUACUUCUUGAUUAGUCUGCAG